rnacentral:rRNA from 1 species
GACGUAGGGCGCGAGCGUUGUCCGGAUUUAUUGGGCGUAAAGAGCUCGUAGGCGGCUUGUCGCGUCGUCCGUGAAAACUUGGGGCUCAACCCCAAGCUUGCGGUCGAUACGGGCAGGCUAGAGUUCGGUAGGGGAGACUGGAAUUCCUGGUGUAGCGGUGAAAUGCGCAGAUAUCAGGAGGAACACCGGUGGCGAAGGCGGGUCUCUGGGCCGAUACUGACGCUGAGGAGCGAAAGCUAGGGGAGCGAACAGG